rnacentral:misc_RNA from 1 species
GAUGAAGAACGCAGCGAAAUGCGAUAAGUAAUGUGAAUUGCAGAAUUCAGUGAAUCAUCGAAUCUUUGAACGCACAUUGCGCCCCUUGGUAUUCCGAGGGGCAUGCCUGUUCGAGCGUCAUUAUAACCCCUCAAGCUCAGCUUGGUGUUGGGGCCUGCUGCACUGGCAGCCCUUAAAAUCAGUGGCGGCGCCAUCUGGCUCUAAGCGUAGUAAUUCUUCUCGCUAUGGAGUCCUGGUGGAUGCUUGCCAUCAACCCCCAAUUUUUCUAUGGUUGACCUCGGAUCAGGUAGGGAUACCCGCUGAACUUAAGCAUAUCAAUAAGCGGGGA